rnacentral:tRNA from 1 species
GCCUGGCUGGCUCAGUUGGUGGAGCACCUGAUUCUUGAUCUUGGGGUUGUGAGUUCAAGCCCCACGCUGGGUG